rnacentral:rRNA from 1 species
CCUACGGGAGGCAGCAGCCGAGGAUCAUUCGCAAUGCGCGAAAGCGUGACGGUGCGACGCCGCGUGCAGGAUGAAGGCCUUCGGGUCGUAAACUGCUGUCAUGAGGGAACAAUAUCCGGGAUGUGAAUACCAUUUCGGGAUGAUAGUACCUUAUGAAUAAGCCACGGCUAACUCUGUGCCAGCAGCCGCGGUAAU